ACCCAGAUAAAACAGCCUCCCAUCUGGUCGUAUGAUUGUCAGACGUGCAUUCUUUUAUAUUAACCGGUUCUCAGCAUUUUAGGAUAGAUGACUACCCAACACUGAACUGUCGCAAGUUUCCACACUGAGACAGCUUUGUAGAAAUAAGAGAAAAAAUUCAUUACAAUUGGCCCAGCAUGGAAUUUAUUUUUAAAAAGGUUGGUAGAAUAUACUUGUAGGCUUCAAAACUAGCACAUCAUCAUUUGAACGCUCCUUCAUCUACAUGAUAUUCUCCAGAAAUACCAAACUUUUAGUCCUGGUCGUUAUAGCUAAUCAGUCAUAUUAGCUAAUCAAAGUAGCUGAUCAGUCACUUGAAGUCUGUUCUGAGCUCUACAGUGUUGGUCAGCUACUGACUUGUGGAAGUCAGACUCUAUCUAUAACCUCGGAAUGGUUAUAAAGCAGGUAUGUUUAUUCGGCGCUGCGCACGCACGCCGGCCGCAAGGGGGAGAGCUCCACCUAACUUGCGCACCAACGGUUGCUGCCAGUGUGCUUCUGUUAGUGGGACAAAUCCGUCUUCAUUUCAUUUCCGCCGUAAGUCUCUUGCAUAGUCAUCAGGCCUCCGAAGAAUCAGUCAGGUAGGGUCCCGUCUCUAUUCGGUUGGGUACUGGAGUCCUUGGGUGGUCGUCCGGCGCACUCUGGUGGUCGUCUGUCGAAGGGCAGAAGUCUUCCUCGCUGCUAAUCUUCUGGCCUUUCCUGUCUUUGUCAGACUUCAUCGGUCAAGCCAGUUCUAGCUCGUUCCAUUAUCUAUGCAUACAGUCUUUUACUCCCUUAUCUUUGGGUCGUUAACCUACAAUUGUGCUAGCUCAGACCUAGGAAUCACCAGCCUUUAUCUUGUUCCCUGUCUCACUACAGAGCUCACUCUAACAUCCCUGGUGGAAGGAGAGCGCUUUCUUACCUGACAGGACUACUGUGCAUGGCUGUCCUGUGUCUCCAUUGAUCAGACUCACAGGAAAGUAAACCAAAUGAGGAUGAAACAGCUUUACCUCUGGACGCAUCAUAGUAUGUAUUGAAAUGGGACCUGUAAGAACAAAGUGCAUUCUCAACAGAUGAAAAAACGCUCACUCUAAAUCUUGCUGGCUUUCCACCACAUCAGAUUGACCGAGACACCCUGAUUCCUUGUCU